CCAGACUCCUACGGGAGGCAGCAGUGGGGGAUAUUGCACAAUGGGGGAAACCCUGAUGCAGCGACGCCGCGUGGGCGAAGAAGUAUUUCGGUAUGUAAAGCCCUAUCAGCAGGGAAGAAGAAAUGACGGUACCUGAGUAAGAAGCACCGGCUAAAUACGUGCCAGCAGCCGCGGUAAUACGUAUGGUGCAAGCGUUAUCCGGAUUUACUGGGUGUAAAGGGAGCGUAGACGGCAUGGCAAGUCAGAUGUGAAAGCCCGGGGCUCAACCCCGGGACUGCAUUUGAAACUGUCAGACUGGAGUGCAGGAGAGGUAAGUGGAAUUCCUAGUGUAGCGGUGAAAUGCGUAGAUAUUAGGAGGAACACCGGUGGCGAAGGCGGCCUGCUGGACUGUGACUGACGUUGAGGCCCGAAGGCGUGGGGAGCAAACAGGAUUAGAUACCCCUGUA
rnacentral:rRNA from 1 species